GUGACUGGGGGCACCCUGCUCCGCAAUGCCGCGUGAGUGAAGAAGGCCUUCGGGUUGUAAAGCUCUUUUGUCAGGGAAGAAACACCGGCUCUAACACAGUCCGGGAAUGACGGUACCUGAAGAAUAAGCACCGGCUAACUACGUGCCAGCAGCCGCGGUAAUACGUAGGGUGCAAGCGUUAAUCGGAAUCACUGGGCGUAAAGCGUGCGCAGGCGGUUAUACAAGACAGGCGUGAAAUCCCCGGGCUUAACCUGGGAAUGGCGCCUGUGACUGUAUAGCUAGAGUGUGUCAGAGGGGGGUAGAAUCCCACGUGUAGCAGUGAAAUGCGUAGAUAUGUGGAGGAAUACCAAUGGCGAAGGCAGCCCCCUGGGAUAACACUGACGCCCAUGCACGAAA
rnacentral:rRNA from 1 species